CAUUCAAUGCAAGAAUCACCUCUCAACACAAAACCAAUAAACUUACUAGUAACCAAGGAACGUAGCAGCGACAGGAGGCAAUGGAGGGAAAGAGGACUACCACUUUGAUGGUGAUCAUGUGCCUGGUCAUCUUGUGCCUCAAUGUUAACUCGGCCACCGCGGCACAGUGCGGCUGCUGCGUAUCCCACGAGGCACAAGCAUGUUGUCAGCUUUGUAUUCGUGUGGGUGGCUCCGACACAGUCUGCAAGCACACUUGCUGUUUCCCAUGUUUUCUGGACGAUUCUGUUGCUGCUAAGAUGGUAGAAAUGGAAGUGCUUGCUAAGAUGAAAGAAGCUGGACAAGCCUAAAACGAUAGCAUGAACGCCAUUCAUAGGCAUAUGUUGCUAUGCUUCAAGCUAUGGCCAAGUUAUGUUAAUGUUUAUCUCCAAUAAAUUGUUCACCAUAUGGGGUGACCUCUAGUUGAUCCAUCUGUUGGUCUCAACUAUAUGUAUGUCGUGCAUCUGUGCGCACGUGUGUGGUGACAAGCAUCUCUCAUUGCUUGUAAUAAGGACACAGACACUAUCCACCGUGAUAUGUGUCAUGAACAGUCCAAUAUGUUUAUGUAUUGUCUCUGGCCUUAUUAGCAAUUUUAUUAUCUGUGUGUGCAUGGUUUACUUAAUUUAUUCUCAGCGGAUUUUUGAUGUUUUUGUGAGUUUUGGAUUAUGGGAGAUAAUUAAGAUUGGGUAAUGCUUCACAUCAGUCAUCCGACGCGAGCAAAAUUUUCGUACGGUGCGCUCGCCACGUGCCCGCACCAUCAACCACAUAUCGUCUCCUCCCCAUGCUUUUUUUCCCUCUCUGGUCUCUACGCUCGCCUCCCCCCAACCAUGUAGCUCCUUCAGCUACACACCUUUCUCCGUGCCGCACCCUCCUCACCGAGUCACCAGAGCUCUCUCCUCCACCUCUCUCCUAUGAAACCUGACUGUCUCCUCAUGCUACCCGCUACCCUCACCCUGAAUCAAGCCUGAGCCCCCUCGCCUGUGCUGUCAGCGGCACUCUAUACAGUUUCCCCCAAUCUGCGCUCAUCUACGGAGGUCGAGCAGGGACGACCCUUCUUCUUCCAUUGCUUUUGGCAGUGUACGCAACAAUUGAUGGGGACCGUCGAUCUGGAGCACUAUCACGUCGUCUCUGUUUCGAUUGAGCUUGGCGGCCUUCAUCUCUGUGCACGGCAAGCCGUGAUCUCGUGAUGCCAGAU